rnacentral:rRNA from 1 species
CAGCCGCCGCGGGAAAACGAAGGGGGCUAGCGUUGUUCGGAUUUACUGGGCGUAAAGCGCACGUAGGCGGACUUUUAAGUCAGGGGUGGAAUCCCGGGGCUCAACCCCGGAACUGCCUUUGAUACUGGGAGUCUUGAGUUCGAGAGAGGUGAGUGGAAUUGCGAGUGUAGAGGUGAAAUUCGUAGAUAUCGGAAGGAACACCAGUGGCGAAGGCGGCUACCUGGACUGACACUGACACUGAGGCGCGAAAGCGUGGGGAGCAAACAGGAUUAGAUACCCCCGUAGUCCCUGUCUCUUAUAC